AGUAACACGUAGGUAAUGUACCUUUGGGUGGGGAAUAACCAUCGGAAACGAUGGCUAAUACCGCAUAAUGCAGCGGCAUCGCAAGAUGACAGUUGUUAAAGAUUUAUCGCCUAAAGAGCAGCCUGCGGCAGAUUAGCUAGUUGGUAAGGUAACGGCUUACCAAGGCUACGAUCUGUAUCCGACCUGAGAGGGUGGUCGGACACACUGACACUGAAUAACGGGUCAG
rnacentral:rRNA from 1 species